rnacentral:rRNA from 1 species
CCUACGGGUGGCUGCAGUGGGGAAUAUUGGACAAUGGGGGCAACCCUGAUCCAGCCAUGCCGCGUGUGUGAAGAAGGCCCUCGGGUUGUAAAGCACUUUCAGUGAGGAAGAACGCCUGGUGGUUAAUACCCAUCAGGAAAGACAUCACUCACAGAAGAAGCACCGACUAACUCCGUGCCAGCAGCCGCGGUAAUACGGAGGGUGCGAGCGUUAAUCGGAAUUACUGGGCGUAAAGCGCGCGUAGGUGGCUUGAUAAGCCGGUUGUGAAAGCCCCGGGCUCAACCUGGGAACGGCAUCCGGAACUGUCAAGCUAGAGUGCAGGAGAGGAAGGUAGAAUUCCCGGUGUAGCGGUGAAAUGCGUAGAGAUCGGGAGGAAUACCAGUGGCGAAGGCGGCCUUCUGGACUGACACUGACACUGAGGUGCGAAAGCGUGGGUAGCAAACAGGAUUAGAUACCCUAGUAGUC